UUGCUGCUGCAAAGCUAUUUUAGGUGCUGAUUUUUGCUGCUGGUUUUUUUCUUGGCUUUGGUUGGUUGCUCACCAACUCUUGAUGGCGUGCUAGCAAAGGAUUGGACGAGCAUAUUGGUGCUAACCUAAUUGGGAUUGAUUUGAUUUCAACUUCCACCGGCCACUUUUGGAUAAUGAGCUCACGGAGAUUGAAGGACUGAUCAAUAGCUGGAUUGAGGACUCUACACUUCUGCAAACUAAAGUGAUGCCUCUAACUGAUGAUAAAAAAGCUGGGGCUAUUGCAAUGUUCGGAGAAAAAUAUGGAGAACAGGUACGUGUUGUAGAGGUUCUGGGUGUAUCCAUGGAACUAUGUGGUGGCACUCAUGUCAGCAGUACUUCUGAAAUACGUGGCUUGAAAAUAAUCUCAGAACAGGGGAUUGCAUCUGGAAUCAGAUGUAUAGAAGCCGUUGCUGGUGAUGCUUUUAUCGAAUGCUAGAGAUGACUACAUGAAACAGCUCUGCUCCACUCUCAAAGUAUGUUUUCUUCUGUAAUCUUUUUGCUAAAUAAAGAACACCUGAUUGUUUCCAAUGUUUUCAUUAUUAAAAUUCAUUCUGCAAAUGUGAAAGCUGAAGAUGUACCAGCCAGGGUAGAAACACUAUUGGAGGAAUUGCGAAUGGCAAGAAAUGAAAUUUCAGCUAUUCAUGCUAAAGCAGUAGUUCACAGAGGCUCAAUCAUCGCAAACAAUGUAUUGCUUGUGGGAAAUUCUAAAAAUAUCAGGUUAUAUCAGGAAAAGACCAGGAACAGUUUGGUUUUCCUGAUAUCUUUUACCAGAAUGUUGAUCAUUUUGGGUGGGGAAUGCAUUAUUGUCCCAGCAGCUGCCUAUUCCUUUUGAUCGAUCACAUGAGUUGAAAUCAAUCCAGCUGCUCUGUAAAUUUCUACGGAUGGUGUAAAGAGGGCAGAGCUUCUUAAGAUCAAAUUUUCCUUGCAGAUGUUUCCAUUAAAAAGACAAUAUUGAAGUGAUGAGCUGAUAGUCUCUUGCAAGAACUGAACUGUCAAGGGUCGCCCCACUCCUUGACAGUUCCAAGGGAGGAUCAGCAUGAGAGCUUGCUGAAGAGGCAAAUAGGCUUGUGAACUAAGUGGAAACUCUUGGUGAAAUAGCUAAACAACUGGGUAAAAAAGGCUGGAAUUUCAAUUUGAAACAUUAUGACAAAAACUUGAACUGGCAAACACCAAUACUGGACUCCUCCCUUAUGUAUGACUGUACUGUCAAUUGCACCUGCCUUUCUGAUGAUGAAUGUCACAUCAGUGCCAUGUAUGUUCCUUUUUAUGUUUUUAAAUAUACUUAUUAUUCAACUCAAUUUUUUGCUUAAAAUGUUAUUUAUGAUUUUUUUAUUUUAUUUAUUUUUAAAUUAGGAGGCAAUGAUGUUUGAAUACUAGCCUAUGCUCUGUAUGUUAAACUUAUUAAUGUCAGUUGAAAGUCCAAAUUCUGUUUUGUAUAGAUGAAAAAAAGAGUAAUGUGCUGAGAAAACCCUGGUAUUGUUCUGUCACUUCUUAUUUACAUGACGCAAGCGGUUGCCAUGAACAUCUAUUCAUAUAUUGCUAAUUACUAGGGUUCUUGGGAAAAUUAAGGUCGUAUUUUGAUGUCCCACAGAAAGGGAAUGACUGCCAACAGUACUCAUAGUAAUUCAAAGUGGAAAUCUGAUAUUUUGAGUAUGCAAAGUGACAAGAAUAAAUGGCAGCCAAUCUACAAAUGAAAUUCAAAAUAACGAAUAUUGUCAUGUACUAAAAGAACAUAAAUAUGAUCACUUUCAAGAUAAAUGAGCGAAUUUUCUGUUCUUCAUUAGGUGACCUCAUUUUAGUAACAGUUGAUUGAACUUUCACUUCUCAUACCAUAAAAUGUUUGGUAGGUGC